UGAUUUUUUAAUACUAUAAAUAAUUUUUCAUAUUUUUAAAAGUGUUUCCCAAAUUUAAUCAAAUACUUAAAGACAAAAAUGCUUCUUAAAAUCAUUGUCUAACUCUUAUUCAUGAAACAUAAACUUUUCUAUUUCUUAUAAAUUAUUAGCCAUUUUUAGUACAGUAAAAAUGGUGGUUGAUUCAAUCUGAAUUUGAGUCUCUUGAAUAUCUAUUGCAGGCAUUGAUGAUUCAUGUGGUGAGCUAUGCGGAUAAAAUGAAUAUCAUUCUAUCAGUUGAUGAAAGUACAGUCCCUGAUCCUCACCAACUGUUUGAUGAGCUUGAAGAGUCUUUCAACCUCAUCAAGAAUGCUGUGAUGGCUAGAGACUAAACUCCACAGAAUGUCACAUGGCAAGGGCCAGGGUUAAUGUAAUUAAUAUUUAUAAUGUUCUGAAAUAAUUUUCUUAGGGUUCCUGCAAUAAUGAUGUUGUAUUAGAUGACUAAUUAUUUAUAAUGUACUAAAUAAAAAAUGCCUCUCUACUAUAUCUUUAUCUUAAUCCAAGUUCAUAUUUUUUGGACUUUAUUUCAUUUUUAAUUACUGUAUUUUGAUGACUAAUUAUGGGUUCUUUCUAAUUUCAUCUUUUAAUUUUUUAUUCUUUUUUUUAUUUUUUUUUUAUUCCUCAUAUCUUUUGCAGUAUCCAUUUUUAAUUUUAGGGCUUGAAUUUCUACUUCAUUUCAUUAAUUUCUUCCAUAAUUUUUAAUUUUUAUUAUUAUUAAAUAAUUGUAAUACUAUUAAAUAUGAAGUUCUUGGCUGGCUUACAUAAGAACCCAUCUCCUGGUUUAUAUUGAUCCCUACCAUUUUUGACUUUGAAGAGGGUCCACUUUUUACAUCUAAUAACAAAGCGUGGGUCCACAAGAGUGGGACUACAGACAGCAAGGAGGCCAUUGUCAAUCAUUCUCCAAUCUUGAGAAAAUGAGAAACACAUGUUUAAGGUGGGCUGCCACUUCAAAAAACAACAUUAUCUAAUUAAUGAUCCAUGCAUGCAUGGAUGGGACCCAUUUAAAAACAACAAAGAAAAUAAAAAUAAAAACAAAAAGAAAAUGAGAAACCUUGUUGAUGACAUAAUUUUAAAAGGACGCGUAAAAGUCUCUUACAAUUUGAGUGCAAAGUAUAACCCAAGGGACUUAAAAUCCUUUUUAAUUCUCCUAUUAAUAAAUCUUCUUAUCUUUUUAAAUAAAAUUGAAUAAAACUUUGAUUGUUUAACAUCCACUAUAUUCUAAGAAAUUUUAAAAAACUUAAAAGCUAAAAAUAUAAAAAUAAAGUAUUCACUUUCACUUUGCUCAUGAAAAAUAUAAAUAUCAAGAGAAAUACAAUAGGAUCAAUAUUUAUAAAAAAAAUUAAGUUUUUUUUGUUUUCAUUGUAUUGAAUUUUUAAGUAUUUUAAUUUUUAAAAUUUCUUAUUUUAUUAUUAUUCAAUAUUCCUAAGAAUGAUUGUUUUUAAAGAAAAAAAAAUUCUAAAAUAAAAUUUUUUUAAAAAGAAAACUAAAAGGGACACAAUUCUUUACAAUUAAGCAUCUACGUAUUUAUUUAUUUAUUAAAUUUACAAACAUAACAAGUAAAAUAGUCAUUUCGGAAAUAAUUAUAUAACUUAUGAAAAAGUGCAUAUAUUUUGAAAUAUUUUUAAAUGAAUAAAAAUGAAAUUGAUUUAUAAAAAUUAAAUUUUUUUUAUAUCUUUUUAAAUUAGCGAGUCCUAACCCACUUUUUCCUUUUUGAAAUGCCCAAUUACAAGGAAUGUCGGAUUGGUUUUAUCCUAACUUCUUAUCCUUCAAUAUAUAUGUUUAGUACUAUGUGAAAGCAAGAGAAAAUUAAGAUUGAUUUGCACAACUAUUUUUAUGUGAAAUUACUUUUUAAAUAUGUAAAAUUUAUGUUGAUGCCAUAAUUUAUGUGGGGAUUUUUUGUUUUAUUAUGAGCUUUUGAUUUAUUAUAGUGAUGCAUGGUGUUCAAUCGUCAAAUGAUUUAUUAGGAAAAGAGGGUUUUAGUCAUGCAAAGAAAAAUGAACAUGACUAUAUAUAAAACCCGACGAUGUAUAUAAUUAAUCCUAGGAAGAAGAGAGAUCGUGACUAAAAGUGCUUUCUUGUUAUGAUUUUGCCUAAGUGUGAGUAGACCGAUUGGUGUAUAGAAAAUAACCUUCGUAGUCAGACAAGGAGCCAAAGCCACCAUGCCCAUAAAUAUACUUUAUUUUUUUCCAAGGAGUUCAAUUACUUUAUAAUCAUUUAUUCUUAUGAUGAAAUAAAUAGAAAUCCAUUUGUCUAGCAAACGAGUUUUUAAUGUGAUUCAAUUAAUUAUAUUUAUUUUUAAUAUAUAAGAUCAUAUAAAAAAAUUUACAAAAGAAAAAAAUCAAAUCACACUCCCGAAACCUUAUAACAAUAUCUAUAUUCUUAAUUUAAACCUAUGUCUUAUGUGCUUUCCUCAUAUUUCGACAAAAAAUUUCAUAUAUCAAUCUUCAUCAUAUAUCAAAAAUAUUAUUAUGCUAGUAAUUUUCAUAUUGCAAAUAGAUAUUAUAUCUAAAAUUACCCACUCCUUUAAGAUGCAUUUUUCCAUAAUUCAUUUUCAAAAUUAUACUCUACAUUCUUUUACUUUUUCAUAUGAAAAUUAAUAUAUAUAUAUAUAUAUAUUUGUUUUUCUUUAAUUUCAUAUUUUCUUGGCUACCAAUCACCAUAUCAAGAAUUUUAUAUGAAAAAAAAAUAAAAAAUAAAAAAUAGCAAUAAUUUACUUUUUUGUCUGUAUUUCUAUCCUUUGAAUUGAAAGUGGAGCUAAAAAGAAAGAAAAUGUCCCAAAUAACUAAAGUCCUUAAAAUUAACCUCAAUUUGAUCUUUAAAUAAAUAAAUAAAUAAAAUCCUAAUGAAACCUAAUAUGGUGGAAGAAAACCAUAAACCUUGUUCCUGCAAGAUCCAAACUCAUCCAUAAUCCACAUAUUUCAGCAUUCCUAAUGCCCACACUCUUUAAAUCACCUCACUUUUUAUAUAAGAUGCUUGCUUAUGAAAGAAAAAACUCUAAAAUAAUAAUAAUAAUAAUAAAUAAUAAAGAACAUGUUAAAAGGAAGACAAACAUUUAGGUAGAAGAGUCAUGUUAAUUGGUGUUGUUGAUAUAACAAGUGAAAUGGUAUUUUGAGGAACAAUUAAAUGACUCACCGAAAAAGUGCCUCUAUGAUAUAAAGUAUAAUAAUUUUAAAAAUGUUUUUAAAGUAUAAUAUUUUAAAAAGAAUUUUUAAGAUAUGCUAUAGUUGUUUAUAUUAUAAUUUAUAUCUCAAAUUACUCAUAUUCAUGAAUGGUUUCUAUAUAUUUAUUUAAAAAGCAGUAUAACUUUAUUUCUUCUAACAAGGUGUAUUGCUAAUAUUGUAAUUAUAUACUUGAACAUAUUAUUAUCUAAUAAAAUUGUUGGCAAAUUAGAGGGUUGGUCGCGUCCAUCAACUCCCCUUGUAUUCGCCGUGUGUGCUUGGGUGAAUGCACCAUAAAGUUAGGAUAUGCGCAUUUCGUAUAAGCAAUUGCUUUUAGGAUAAUUAGUAGCGUCUGAGGUUCUACAAGUGGUAUUAGAGUCGAGGUCACGGGUUCAAACUCUAGGCGUGUUGUUGGGGGAAGAUGUGCACUAUAAGGUUAGAGUAUGUAUCUUUCCUACAAGCAAUUAUUUUAAGGUAUGUGCAUUUCCUACAAGCAAUUCCUUUUAGGAGAAUUGGUAAUGCCUGAGAGGAGAUGUGCACUAUAAAGUUAGAGUAUGUGCCUUACAAAGUAUGUGCAUUUCCUACAAGCAAUUCCUUUUAGGGGAAUUGGUAGCUUUCGAGGAUUUAACAUGUAUCUAAUUUUCAUGCCUAUCUAACCAAGAAUUUGAAAUGAAAAUGAAAUUCACUUUACAACUUUGAAUCAAAUCAUCCUCAAAUAAGAAAAGUUCCAUCACUAAUCUUUUGUGGCAAAACCCUCAAAUCUUUUCUUUUUUAAAAAAAAAUUUAUAUGGCCUCCAUCAUUAAUCCUAAAUUCAAUUUGAAAUUUGAUUCUAGAAAAAGUAAUAUGACUUCUCGUCCUAAACCCAGGUUGAUCCUAUAAAUAGGAGCACAACCAACGAUGGUGGAGGCACGCCAUCUUUCGAUUUCUAUUCUUCAGUUGUUUUUCAUUCUGAAAGCAGCUAGCACCAUGGAAACCCAAUCAGGUUUGAAGCACGCACUUAAGCCUAUUAGAAUUGUGCCUAAAGAAGGUGAUGAUCAGGAAGAUCAUCAGCCAUUGAGUCCAAUGACUCGUUUGUUUCAUGAACCUGACUGCAAUCUCUACGUUAUCGCCAUGAUAGGCUCGAAAACUCGCAUCGACCCUGACGUGGUUAAAGCCAACCUGGUGCAUAGUCUCCUUAAACACCCUCGUUUCUCUAGUCUGCAGGUAGAAAUCUUGCAUGCAAGAAGGAAUGAACUAGCCAUUUAGUAAUUUAAAGCUACACUGAACAUUUUUGAACUAAAAUGCAGCGGUGUUAUUCCAAAAUCCAUUGUGAAUUUUUUCAGUAUUAUUAAUCUAUUUCCAUUGUUUGCUAACCAUUAAAUCAUCUUCCAAAAUCAGGUUAUGGAGGAGGAAAAGGGAGGAGAGAUGAAAUGGGUUCCAACAAAAGUUGAUUUGGAAAAGCAUGUUAUAGUUCCAGACAUGUGUUCCGACAUGGAAACAUCAUCAGACAAGUACGUGGAAGACUACAUUUGCAACCUCACUAAAACAACCCUAGACCUUUCCAAGCCAUUAUGGGACCUUCAUCUCCUCAACGUCAAAACCUCCGACGCCGAGGCCGUCGCCGUUUUCAGGAUUCACCACUCCCUCGGCGAUGGCACGUCUCUCAUGUCUCUUUUACUUGCAUGCACACGCAAAGCCUCGGAUCCCACGGCUCUGCCUUCGGUUCCCAUGAUGAAGAAACCAAAAUUAUCGGUUGGGUCUGGAAAGUGGUGGAAGGCUUUCAGACUGGUUUGGAAUACUAUCAUCGAUGUUUUGAUGGUGAUCGCCACAGUGUUGUUCUUGAAGGACAGAGACACGCCUCUUAGGGGUCCGCCCAAUGUUGGAUCCACAGGACGGAGAAUUAUUCACAGGACGAUUAGUCUGGAGGAUGUUGUGAUGAUAAAAAAUGCAAUGAGCACUGUAAGUCAACUUGUUGCAAGCAUGGAAAACAAAUACAUGUUUUGCAACUGUUUCAAAAUAAAAAACAAUUUUCUGUUUUUCAAAUAAAAUAAAUAGAAAAACAGUUUAGAUAAUAAUAAUAAAAAAUAGAAAAUGAGGUAUUUUCAAGAAACAACUUUUAAUUAUUUUUAUUUUCAUUUGUUUUUGUGAUAAUUGUUUUCAAAAAUAAUUAUAUAAAUAUAAUAAUGAUUAAAAAUUAAAAGCACAAGUUAUUUUCAAAAAUAUAUUUUAAAAUAUAAGUUAAGAAUAUUCUAGAGUCAUUCCCGAAUAAAAAUUAUUUUCUAUAAAUGUUUAUGAAAAACACUUAUCAAACAAAGCUAUGAUUUUUUCUUUUUUGGACUAUGCCCCAUAAUUUUUUUAUUUUUUAAAGCAAAGAAAUACAAAGCUUUUUUACUUUACGAUCACUUCAAUGAAAGAGUGGGUAAUCAUAUAUUUGAAGAAGUUUAUAACUCCUCUCUCAAUCAUUAGUGGAGAGAUUAAGAACUAAAAUUUUUGUGGCUCUCAUGUGCAGACUGUUAAUGAUGUUAUGGUGGGAAUCACACAGGCUGGUUUGUCUCGGUACCUCAAUAGGCGAUAUGGUGAGCUCCUAUUUUAAUUUUCAAAAUUCAUAUAUUAAGUGGUGAAGAGUAAUUAUAAUACACCACCUAGCUACUCUCUCUAUGUAUAAAAGGAUGUUAUAAAGCUUGUAUGCUCACAUGGUAGCUGAAGGCAAGAAGAAUAAAGGGGCAACAGAAAAGAAAAAUAAUCUUCCCAAGAACCUUUCUAUCAGAGCAACUCACUUCAUUAACAUAAGACCAUCUGCAGGGAUCCAUGUGGGUGUUUCUACUUUCUUUAUCAACCCCUCGUGAAGGAAUUAGUUAAUUUCUCUUUGGGAAGUGUUUUCAAAAAAUGAAACACAGUUUUUGAAAACUGUUAUUUGAUAUUUUAUGAAAUAAAAGUUUGUUUAAAAAUCUGAAAUUAAUGUUAUUUAUGUUUUCUAUGUUUUAAAAUAUGUUUUAUUAUUAAUUGAUCUCCAUAUUUUUAUAAUUAUUUAUUAAAUAGUUCUUAAAAAAUGAUCAAAAAAUAUUUUCUGAAAACGCUUCAUUUUUAAAUAAUUAUUUUAUUUAAAUUUUUUUUCAAAAUUUAAAAAUUAUUUUAAAAUCAAUUUUCAAACAAGUCCUUAAUUUCUUGUCUAAUGCAUGUAUACAUUCAUAUCGUACAGACCUUAGCUGAAAUGAUGGAGAAAGGCUCUGAAGCGAAAUGGGGCAACUGGAUUGGCUAUGUCCUUCUCCCUUUAUCCAUUGCAUUACGAGACAAUCCUUUAGAUUACAUUCAAAAAGCUAAGGAAGCUAUGGAUAGAAAAAAAGCCUCUCUUGAAGCUCUCUACAUACAUUCCAUGGCUAAGUCAAUUCCCAACUUAUUUGGCACUAAGGUAUGAAUUAAUAUCACUCAACCUUAGCUUGUUUCCUCAAAAUUAAGUACUUCUAGCUUAAUUAAUAUCACUGUCUAAUAAACAAUUAAAAGUGGUAUAUAUAGGCUCACUUCUUUCAUUGGUAAACAGACCGGAAGCGUUCUAUGCCUCAAAGUCCCCUCCCGUACGACAAUAUGGUUCUCAAAUGUAGUUGGACCCCAGGAAGAAAUUGCCUUCUUUGGCCAUCCAAUAGCCUACAUUGCUCCAAGUUGUUUUGGUCAACCCAAUGUAAGUCUUUUUAAACUUUGUUUGACAAUGUUUAAAAAAUGUUUUAGCCUAUAAAAUGUUUUACAAAAAAAAAAUUAAAAUUUAGAAAUCACUUUCAAAAAGUUAAAAAGUAAAGAAAUAUUUGAUAGAUAAUUCUCUUAAUACUUUUUUUAAAAAUUAAUUAAUGUUUCAUGUAAAACACUCUCAAGAAAAACACUUCAAAGUACAUUCUUAAAUUGUGUUUGAUAAUAUUUUUACUCAGAAUGUUUUUAAUGAAAACAUAUUCUCUAAAAGUAUUUUAAGAUAAAUUAUCUAUCAAAUAUUUCUCCAAAAAAUACUAUAAGUGAUUUUUUAAUACUAUAAAUAAUUUUUCAUAUUUUUAAAAGCGUUUCCUAAAUUUUAUCAAAUACUUAAAGACAAAAAUGCUUCUUAAAAUUAUUGUCUAACUCUUAUUCAUAAAACAUAAACUUUUCUCUUUCUUAUAAAUUAUUAGCCAUUUUUAGUACAGUAAAAAUGGUGGUUGAUUCAAUCUGAAUUUGAGUCUCUUGAAUAUCUAUUGCAGGCAUUGAUGAUUCAUGUGGUGAGCUAUGUGGAUAAAAUGAAUAUCAUUCUAUCAGUUGAUGAAAGUACAGUCCCUGAUCCUCACCAACUGUUUGAUGAGCUUGAAGAGUCUUUCAACCUCAUCAAGAAUGCUGUGAUGGCUAGAGACUAAACUCCACAGAAUGUCACAUGGCAAGGGCCAGGGUUAAUGUAAUUAAUAUUUAUAAUGUUCUGAAAUAAUUUUCUUAAGGUUCCUGCAAUAAUGAUGUUGUAUUAGAUGACCAAUU
rnacentral:lncRNA from 1 species